GCAAGUCGUACGAGAAAGUCUUUUCGGAGGCGAUUAAAGUGGCGCACGGGUGAGUAACGCGUAGGUGACAUACCUUGAGAUGGGGGACAACAGAGAGAAAUUUCUGCUAAUACCGCAUAUGUAGGGGAACUUUGGAUAGUUCCUUAUAAAGAUGGCCUCUCCUUGGAAGCUAUUGUCUCAAGAAUGGCCUGCGUACCAUUAGCUUGUUGGUGGGGUAAUGGCCUACCAAGGCAGUGAUGGUUAACCGGUCUGAGAGGAUGAUC
rnacentral:rRNA from 1 species